rnacentral:rRNA from 1 species
AUCGCCUUUCGAACUCUAAAAUAUGAAAGGUCCCGCCUGCCCUGUGAUGAAACAUUUAACGGCCGCGGUAUUUUGACCGUGCAAAGGUAGCGCAAUCACUUGUCUUUUAAAUGAAGACCUGUAUGAAUGGCAUAACGAGGGCUUGACUGUCUCCCUGCCCCAGUCAAUGAAAUUGAUUUUCCCGUGCAGAAGCGGGAAUACCUACAUAAGACGAGAAGACCCUGUGGAGCUUAAGACAAUAAGUGGCGCCUGUAAAGAAACUUACCCCUAGAAACAAAAGGCACCCCCACUUUGAUGUCUUUGGUUGGGGCGACCGCGGGGGAACAAAAAGCCCCCAUGUGGAACGUGAGAACCUCUCUUCAAGCAUAGAGUAACAGCUCAAAGCAACAGAACAUCUGACCUUAUAUGACCCGGCACAAGUGCCGAUCAACGAAAACAGUUACCCCAGGGAUAACAGCGCAAUCCUCUCCCAGAGCCCAUAUCGACAAGAGGGUUUACGACCUCGAUGUUGGAUCAGGACAUCCUAAUGGUGCAGCCGCUAUUAAGGGUUCGUUUGUUCAACGAUUAAAGUCCUACGUGAU